rnacentral:piRNA from 1 species
UUUCAACAAUAGAAUCCCCCA